rnacentral:rRNA from 1 species
UACGUAGGGGGCAAGCGUUGUUCGGAAUUACUGGGCGUAAAGGGCGCGUAGGCGGCACGGCAAGUCAGGAGUGAAAGCCCUGGGCUCAACCCAGAAACUGCUUUUGAAACUGCCGAGCUAGAGUGCGGAAGGGGCAACUGGAAUUCCCAGUGUAGCGGUGAAAUGCGUAGAUAUUGGGAAGAACACCUGAGGCGAAGGCGGGUUGCUGGGCCGACACUGACGCUGACAGCGCGAAAGCUAGGGGAGCGAACGGG